ensembl:lncRNA
ACCUCAUAUAUGUUAUAUAUGAAGUAUAUAAUAAUAUAUAACACCUUAAUAAUUAUACUUUAUAACAUUUUUGCUAAUCCAAAGGCAAUUUAUCUCAAAACUUAGAGUUUACUAACUUAAUAUAAGUGGGAGUGGAGGAGAGUAAAUUUUGACAAAAAAUGGAGCAGCAAAAAGUUCUUUUCAAAUGUUUGAUUAUUGUUUCACAGAAUAUAAUUGUAGUUUCUUAAAAUAUUAGUUUUUCAUCUGUUUCAUAUUUCUCAGAAAUAACCCUUAGAUGUUAAGGCUCCUCUGCAGGAAUCGCGUGAAUAUGAAUGAGUGCAGAAAAGCUGGAGAGAAGAGGUCGAUAAAUGUUUAAAUUAACUAACUUGAUUUUAAACUAUCCGAUAAAUAUUUCUCUUAGAAAUUUAGGCAUAUUUUGAUCAGUUUUGUUUCUAUUGUUUUCUUUUCUUGAUCCGCUUCUCAGCUGUGGCUGCGAUCUCUGGCAUCUCCACAGCAUUGAUGAAAAAACUCUUAAAAUGAUUUGUGUCUUCUGUCUUGUGUGGUGUUCUCUCUUCUCUCUCAAUUUAAAAUAUCAAAAUUGCUUAACAUCUUUCUAGGAAGCAGGUAACAUAAUGGUGAGUUUACAAUCUUCCUCUUGUUCCUUUGUGUAUAGGGGUCAAUUUUAUGUUGGUAAUAUGGUGAAUGAUCAAGCUCCAAUAUUAAACUUUGGAGAAAAGAAAUAUCCUACAUUGUGGAAGUUUGAAUUAAAAGAUCUCUUUCAAGUGCAGUUGAGAAUUUAGCCAUCACUCUAUCAUUCAGAGAUAAAUUAAAAUUCAGUGUGCUAGUGUAUAUGCAUGUUUUACAUCAAAGGCAAUGAUACCAAGAAUGCAUACUUAACCCUCUGCCGUGAGGAGUUUGAAUUGGAAAAUUUUAAUCCAGGUUAUAAAUCACUUGAGAGACUUUUAAACUAGCCACAAGGGGGCAGCAAAACACACAGGAUUCCCUGAACCCACUGACGCAGGAACAUUCCGCCGUGUCUUAUGAAGAAGGCAAACGAAAGAACGAAUUCAAGUACCUGGCGUUUGAGCCGUCUUCGAACACUGGCAUUUCUAGUACAACUACAUCAGGCGAAGGAGAAGUAAUAUUCCACGAACGUCUGAGGUUGGCUGGCCAGCAGAGUUUGGAUGGUCGAACACAGUUUUUGGCUCUGCCUUUGAUGGGUAAGUGUGUAGGACCCAUGUUGUUGCUUCUACUUAGCCUUAGAGGAAAACAUCUUAACUACAGUAUUGAGGGAACUAUGUUUCCAUCAGGAGACACUUGCAUUUAUUCCAUAGGACAGUUAGGUUAUGUUAAUAUUUUCUGACUUUCCUCUCCUUUCUGUAAGGGUAAAGGAAAAAUAAUUUUUAACCUAUGUUUUAGACUUCAGUGAGAACCCUCUCCUAUAUUCACACUUUCAUUACUUUUCAGUAGAUUCACAGAAACAUCUAUGUAGACUUAACAGUUUGGCCAUUAGCUUAUGGUAAAGCUUAGGACAUAUUCUUCCUUGCCUAAGUGUGAGUAUUAAUUUAUGAUUUAAAUGACUGUGUUGCCUUUUUGUUUUGUGACUGAGACAGGGCUGAUACUGGUUAUGGGAUGUGUGUAUCAUCCCAGCUCCCAUAAAAGGGGCUGAUUUGCCUAUUAAAAUCAUUAAAGGAAUAAAACCUAUUAGGGGAAAUAAUGAUUAGGUCACAACAUCCAUGAUAAAUAGAGAACUGGCUAGUUAAAAUGACCGAGUUAAAAAUGUUAAUUUUGUUCAUGGGUUUUAAUGUUUUAUAUUCCUGUUUAGCAGGAAGGGAGAAUUUAUUUAGGACUGAAUGGAAGCUAUUACAGGUGGUAUUAUUAUUAUAGAGUAACCCAUGAAGAAGGAUAUUUUGUUUAAGCCUUCAAUAUCAUACAAUAAAUAUUAAGUAUUUCAUAAACAAUAAAAAUAAUCUUUUCUCUGUUGACUUUGGUUACUGAUACUAUUUGAAAUAGAAUAAUGAGUUCAGUUCAGGAUAUCUGAGAGCAAAGAUUACAAGGGAAAAUUGCUGAAGAUAAACCCCCCCUCCUGCAAUCUCUAAGGGCAGAGUUUAUCUUGUCUGGUCUAACUCAUGUGGGAAUUUCAAACAUCUGAAAAAGUUCUAUUUGGAGUGAAUGAUUGGCCUUGAAUUUUGACCUCUAUAACAGAGAUAACUUGGAUUUUUUGGGAAAUUUGAUGAUGAUGUAUAGUGAAUUUUCUUAUCUGGGAAAGAUGAGUUUUUGAAGUGUUGUUAUGGAAUGGGUCUUUCUGGAAGAGUCUAGUUUUGACUCAAGCUAGCUUCCCAAAUGCUGCUUGAAAUCAUAAUAUCUUGGAGAAUGCUUGUACUGCUCUUAAGUGGGCAGGGAAUCUUUGUUUAUUCCCUGGCAGCGAUGUAUGGCAUUUCCAGUUACUCAGGCUUAGGGAAUAGAGCAGUCUUCUCCCGCAGGACUCAACUCUGCACCCUACAAAAGAAUUGGCCUCGUUAGGGUACUUUUGAUUUGUUGUGCUAGUUUAAG